rnacentral:rRNA from 1 species
AGAUUAAACUGAAGAGUUUGAUCCUGGCUCAGAUUGAACGCUGGCGGCAUGCCUUACACAUGCAAGUCGAACGGUAACAGGUCUUCGGAUGCUGACGAGUGGCGAACGGGUGAGUAAUACAUCGGAACGUGCCCAGUAAUGGGGGAUAGCU